UGCCCAGCAACUCCUAUCCCUACCUCCUCGUAGUACUGGCUGGGGUACGAGUAACCUUGGGGAAGAUCGGGUAACCAACCCCCGGUGGGAACUUUGGUCGUAUGCUGACAGGGAAGG
rnacentral:ribozyme from 1 species